GCGCCGUUGGUGUAGUGGUGACAUACAAUUUAACAGUCAUAUCUGAAAGUGCCUGUUUAGGUUGUGUACUGGGUUCGACUCCCGGACGGUGCG